CCUACGGGGUGCUGCAGUGAGGAAUAUUGGUCAAUGGACGAGAGUCUGAACCAGCCAAGUAGCGUGAAGGAUGACUGCCCUAUGGGUUGUAAACUUCUUUUAUAUGGGAAUAAAAUGUUCCACGUGUGGGUUUUUGUAUGUACCAUAUGAAUAAGGAUCGGCUAACUCCGUGCCAGCAGCCGCGGUAAUACGGAGGAUCCGAGCGUUAUCCGGAUUUAUUGGGUUUAAAGGGGGCGUAGGUGGAUUGUUAAGUCAGUUGUGAAAGUUUGCGGCUCAACCGUAAAAUUGCAGUUGAAACUGGCAGUCUUGAGUACAGUAGAGGUGGGCGGAAUUCGUGGUGUAGCGGUGAAAUGCUUAGAUAUCACGAAGAACUCCGAUUGCGAAGGCAGCUCACUGGACUGCAACUGACACUGAGGCUCGAAAGUGUGGGUAUCAAACAGGAUUAGAUACCCGAGUAGUC
rnacentral:rRNA from 1 species